UACGAAGGGGGCUAGCGUUGUCCGGAAUCAUUGGGCGUAAAGGGCGCGUAGGUGGCCUGCUAAGCGUGCGGUGAAAGUCGGGGGCUCAACCCCCGAUCGGCCGUGCGAACUGGGAGGCUUGAGCACUGUAGAGGCAGGCGGAAUUCCGGGUGUAGCGGUGGAAUGCGUAGAGAUCCGGAAGAACACCGGUGGCGAAGGCGGCCUGCUGGGCAGUUUUGCUGACACUGAGGCGCGACAGCGUGGGGAGCAAACAGG
rnacentral:rRNA from 1 species